CAGAGAGGAAGUAUUAAUCUUGCAGUCUCUAAAAGGCCAUAUUUCUCUCUUUUCCUCACUCUACUUCCCAACAGAAACAGCAUAUCUGUGAGAAAAGUGACAGGCUGAAAAAGAUAUCUCUGAAGAAAAUAAGAAAUUCCCUCUUGCAGUAUCACACUGAUAUCCUCCUGACUUACAAGCGACUUUGGGAUCCUAUUACAGCUCUCUGGACAUAACUUCUGACUGAGUCACACCGCUACCUGGGUUGGAAGAGGAAGGUCAUGCAGGAGCUCUGUUAUGAAAAAGCAGCUGCUGAGGGAAGAGAUAGGGAAGUGAACACAGUCAAACUAUUCUGUAAGUGUCCCCUCUCCUCAUCCAGACUGAUUCACACCAAUAGACUGUUCUGUUAGAAAGGUAGCCAGUCAUGUCUUCACCAGGCAAGGCUUCUUGGUAUAACUGCAGAUGAAUACACGCCAGAGGUAAGAUGACAAAUAUCACCUACACUGGGAAGGAUCUAGAUGGCCGUGUACCACGUAGGAUGCAUGCUUCUUCAUAGCGCGGUAGCUUGAAGAAAGUAUAUGGCAGUGGUCCAGUUAAAUAUCCAUUUUCUAUAGAUAAAUUAAGAGUAAUUUUUAAAAGUGGGGAGGGCUGAAAGAGG
ensembl:lncRNA